UGAGGAAUAUUGGUCAAUGGGCGAGAGCCUGAACCAGCCAAGUCGCGUGAAGGAAGACAGUCCUAAGGAUUGUAAACUUCUUUUAUACGGGAAUAACGGGCGAUACGAGUAUUGCAUUGAAUGUACCGUAAGAAUAAGCAUCGGCUAACUCCGUGCCAGCAGCCGCGGUAAUACGGAGGAUGUGAGCGUUAUCCGGAUUUAUUGGGUUUAAAGGGUGCGUAGGUUGUUCGGUAAGUCAGCGGUGAAACCUGAGCGCUCAACGUUCAGCCUGCCGUUGAAACUGCCGGGCUUGAGUUCAGUGGCGGCAGGCGGAAUUCGUGGUGUAGCGGUGAAAUGCAUAGAUAUCACGAGGAACUCCGAUUGCGAAGGCAGCUUGCCAUACUGCGACUGACACUGAAGCACGAAGGCGUGGGUAUCAAACAGG
rnacentral:rRNA from 1 species